rnacentral:miRNA from 2 species
UCUGGGUUAUGAUUAAGACUGGGC